rnacentral:misc_RNA from 1 species
GUGCUCUUUUUUGCAGUAUCCAAUGCACCCAAGCAACCCUUCACUAUAUCAUCAAUGUAGGUAAAAUCCCUUGCCACUGAGAAAUGAUGAGGCCCCUCAAAAAUGGUGGCUUUCUUUUCAAUAUAUCCUUUGUAAAAGAGAAAUAAGCCAUAUCCGGUCGCCCCCAGGGACCAUAAACAGUGAAAAACCGCAAACCAGUG